CGCUGGCGGCGCGCCUAACACAUGCAAGUCGAACGAGCGAGAGAGAGCUUGCUUUCUCGAGCGAGUGGCGAACGGGUGAGUAACGCGUGAGGAACCUGCCUCAAAGAGGGGGACAACAGUUGGAAACGACUGCUAAUACCGCAUAAGCCCACGACCCGGCAUCGGGUUGAGGGAAAAGGAGCAAUCCGCUUUGAGAUGGCCUCGCGUCCGAUUAGCUAGUUGGUGAGGUAAUGGCCCACCAAGGCAACGAUCGGUAGCCGGACUGAGAGGUUGAACGGCCACAUUGGGACUGAGACACGGCCCAGACUCCUACGGGAGGCAGCAGUGGGGAAUAUUGCACAAUGGGGGAAACCCUGAUGCAGCGACGCCGCGUGGAGGAAGAAGGUCUUCGGAUUGUAAACUCCUGUUGUUGAGGAAGAUAAUGACGGUACUCAACAAGGAAGUGACGGCUAACUACGUGCCAGCAGCCGCGGUAAAACGUAGGUCACAAGCGUUGUCCGGAAUUACUGGGUGUAAAGGGAGCGCAGGCGGGCAGACAAGUUGGAAGUGAAAUCCAUGGGCUCAACCCAUGAACUGCUUUCAAAACUGUAUGUCUUGAGUAGUGCAGAGGUAGGCGGAAUUCCCGGUGUAGCGGUGGAAUGCGUAGAUAUCGGGAGGAACACCAGUGGCGAAGGCAGCCUACUGGGCACCAACUGACGCUGAGGCUCGAAAGUGUGGGUAGCAAACAGGAUUAGAUACCCUGGUAGUCCACACCGUAAACGAUGAUUACUAGGUGUUGGAGGAUUGACCCCUUCAGUGC
rnacentral:rRNA from 1 species